CCUCGACAAAAAAUCAAGAUGAAUACCUUUUUACCAAUUGAAGAAGUGUUCGAUCAUCAGCACAGGGCAUCUGUGAAACCAAGAAGGAAGAAGACAAGUAGAACACCAGUGAGAGAAGGCCAAGAAGAACACCAGCAGAAGAAAGCCAGGAAGAACACCAGCGGGAGAACACCAGCCCGCACAAGAACACCAGGAACCACCACCGCACACUCGCACACCCCAA
rnacentral:lncRNA from 1 species